UCCUGUUUCACUCCUUCAUGACAUGUCAACCUCUAUUCUUAACUUUGAAAGGACUCUAAAUGACCAUGCUCAGCUCUUUGGUUUCAUCUAGAUCAAAAGGACUUUAUUAGCUUGUAAUGUAAUGGUAUGAAUGGUUAGAAAAUACAAGGCUAUAUGGAAAUGAAGAAACUGUGAAGAAGAGGAGAACCUAAACUCAGUGCACUCUUUUUGAUAAUUCGGCCAGUCCAAUUUCUUUUCUUUCUCUCUGGUUUUCACAUACUGUCAGGUCUCAUUUUUCAUAAUUUUGCACUUUUGCUCUUUUUCCAGACCUGCUCUCUCUUUUUUUUUCUUUUUUUUCUUUUCUCUCAACACAACCAGAUUGCUCUUCUUAUUUUUCUUUUCUUUUUCUUGGCCUUUCUUUUUCUCUUUUUCUUUCACCAAGUUACUAAAUCCUCACUUCCUCUCACAGCUUCUACACGUUGGGUAAUGAUGGGGAAUAAGGCUUGUACUGAAUGGAACAAAGAAAAUGGCUAAGGCUCAAAAGAAAAGGUGCAAUGGUAAGAAAAACUAAUGGUAAAGCUAAAUGGUUAUGGAUGGUUAGAAACAAUGCCUAAAUCAUGUCUAGAGUCCACUAAGAGCAAGCUUUUCACAAAGAAUCAAUGCAAAAUCAGAAUGAAAAUCAAACAUGCAUGAAAUCACUCAAGAAAGACAAACAAAUAGGCCCAAAAUCUCUCCAGGUUAAUCAUUUUACUAAAACUGAGUUGCUACCUUCUUUUAUGCAAAAAUGCCUAAUUAAACUGAACUC
rnacentral:lncRNA from 1 species